rnacentral:rRNA from 1 species
CCAACGAGGAUUGCUUAGUACGGCGAGUGAAGCGGCAAAGCUCAAUUUGAAAUCUGGUACCUUCGGUGCCCGAGUUGUAAUUUGGAGAGGGCAACUUUGGGGCCGUUCCUUGUCUAUGUUCCUUGGAACAGGACGUCAUAGAGGGUGAGAAUCCCGUGUGGCGAGGAGUGCGGUUCUUUGUAAAGUGCCUUCGAAGAGUCGAGUUGUUUGGGAAUGCAGCUCUAAGUGGGUGGUAAAUUCCAUCUAAAGCUAAAUAUUGGCGAGAGACCGAUAGCGAACAAGUACAGUGAUGGAAAGAUGAAAAGAACUUUGAAAAGAGAGUGAAAAAGUACGUGAAAUUGUUGAAAGGGAAGGGCAUUUGAUCAGACAUGGUGUUUUGUGCCCUCUGCUCCUUGUGGGUAGGGGAAUCUCGCAUUUCACUGGGCCAGCAUCAGUUUUGGUGGCAGGAUAAAUCCAUAGGAAUGUAGCUCGCCUCGGUAAGUAUUAUAGCCAGUGGGAAUACUGCCAGCUGGGACUGAGGACUGCCACGUAAGUCAAGGAUGCUGGCAUAAUGGUUAUAU